GGUGAGUAACACGUGGGUAACCUGCCUGUAAGACUGGGAUAACUCCGGGAAACCGGGGCUAAUGCCGGAUGGUUGUUUGAACCGCAUGGUUCAAAUAUAANAGGUGGCUUCGGCUACCACUUACAGAUGGACCCGCGGCGCAUUAGCUAGUUGGUGAGGUAACGGCUCACCAAGGCGACGAUGCGUAGCCGACCUGAGAGGGUGAUCGGCCACACUGGGACUGAGACACGGCCCAGACUCCUACGGGAGGCAGCAGUAGGGAAUCUUCCGCAAUGGACGAAAGUCUGACGGAGCAACGCCGCGUGAGUGAUGAAGGUUUUCGGAUCGUAAAGCUCUGUUGUUAGGGAAGAACAAGUACCGUUCGAAUAGGGCGGUACCUUGACGGUACCUAACCAGAAAGCCACGGCUAACUACGUGCCAGCAGCCGCGGUAAUACGUAGGUGGCAAGCGUUGUCCGGAAUUAUUGGGCGUAAAGGGCUCGCAGGCGGUUUCUUAAGUCUGAUGUGAAAGCCCCCGGCUCAACCGGGGAGGGUCAUUGGAAACUGGGGAACUUGAGUGCANAAGANGAGAGUGGAAUUCCACGCGUANCGGUGAAAUGCGUANNGAUGUGGAGGAACACCAGUGGCGAANGCGACUCUCUGGUCUGUAACUGACGCUGANGAGCGAAAGCGUGGGGAGCGAACAGGAUUANAUACCCUGGUAGUCCACGCC
rnacentral:rRNA from 1 species